AACGAACGCUGGCGGCAGGCUUAACACAUGCAAGUCGAACGGUUGUAGCAAUACAGCAGUGGCGCACGGGUGAGUAACACGUGGGAAUAUCCCUUUCAGUACGGAAUAACGUCGGGAAACUGACGCUAAUACCGUAUACACCUCCGGGUGAAAGAUUUAUCGCUGAAAGAUUAGCCCGCGUCAGAUUAGCUAGUUGGUGGGGUAACGGCCUACCAAGGCUCCGAUCUGUAGCUGGUCUUAGAGGACGAUCAGCCACACUGGAACUGAGACACGGUCCAGACUCCUGCGGGAGGCAGCUGUGGGGACUAUUGGACAAUGGGGGAAACCCUGAUCCAGCCAUGCCGCGUGAGUGAUGAAGGCCUUCGGGUUGUAAAGCUCUUUUGUCAGGGAAGAUGAUGACUGUACCUGAAGAAUAAGCCCCGGCUAACUUCGUGCCAGCCGCCGCCGUAACAC
rnacentral:rRNA from 1 species